UUCGCAGUUAUAUAAAGUAGCAAAUUAUCGUUCCUGAAUAGGUGGCGCCGUUGUAGCCGAUCCUGUACUUCAACUUCCGGUUUCUGCACUGUGCAACUAUUACAGUUGCAUUUUUAAUUAACGAUGCCAAGUACUUGUUGUUGUGUACCUGGAUGUCAUUUAAGAGGAGGACAUGCAUUUCCAAAUGACUUAAAAAGAAGGAAAAGUUGGAUCAACGCCAUGGCCCAUACGCAGAUUGGACGAGAACAUGAUGAAAUCGUGGAGUCCAUCUCAAUCAGCUGUUGUUUGCAAGGCACAUUUUACUGAAAAAGACUACGUGCAGGAAACUAUUCAUGGGCACAAACCCACCAUACAGAGACUUUAAGUCUACUGCCAAUCCCAGCCUAUUUUCCUGGACCAAGCAAGAGACUGAAUCGUCCGCAAAAAGAAAAAUCAGGGCAGUUUCCUGUGAAAACAAAAGAACUAAACUUGAUGAAUAUUGUAGUAGAAAUCUAGAGGAAAGUUUUGAUUGUAAAGUUGGUUUUCCUGAAGAAGUAAUUCAUACUGCAGACAGGAUUUAUGACUGUCCACCACCAACUGCCGAGCUAAUGUUGAGCUUCACAGAUGGAAUUACGCAAACACCAUCAAUGCCUAUAUUUUCAGCAGAGAAUUUUGAAAUGAAGACACGUGACACAGCCAUGCAUUUUUAUACCGGUUUAGAGUUGUAUACUAAAUUUUUAUUUGUUUUGACCACACUUGGUCCAACAGCACAUUGUUUGAGAUACAUAUAUUUUCAAAUUGAUAGGGUGUCAUUUGAAAAUCAGUUUUUUUAUGACUUUGAUGAAAUUGAUGCAUUAUACAACCAACUUUGAACUGUCUAGAUUCUAGAUUGAAACUAGUGUUAAGAAUAUUGUGUAAACAUGGAUUGUUUUUAUGUCUAAACAGUGGCGUGAGGCUAACACUUGGCCAUUUAGUGGUUUAGUCAGGUAUUUUUCGCCAUCCAACUUAGAAUUAAAGUUUCCUACAACUUGGAUUAUUAUUGACAGCACAGAAUAUCCCGUGAUAAAACCUAAAGCUCCUAGAGCUCAGGCAACCUUUUCAUCAUAUAAAAACAGAAACACUGAAAAUACUUGUAUGUUCGACACCUGGUGGUUUAGUCAACUAUGUCUCUAAUGCAUAUGUUGGUUGUACCAGUGACUGUGAAAUAGUUGAAAGAUGUAGAAUAGUUCAAUUAUGUGAUCCAGGUGACAGUGUGAUGGCAGACAAAGGUUUAAAUGUGCAAGAUUUGUUUGCUCACUUUUUUCAAAAAAAGAAACAGAAUUAGUUCCAAAACUCUUAUACGGGAUAGAAAAGUCUCCAAUUAACACGUGCACAUAGAGCUAAUUAUUGGACUUGGCAAAACAUACAAAAUUCUAAUAAAUCCUAUGAAUGGAACUGAAACAAAACUUUCAUCUGAAAUAACAUUUAGUUGUUUUAUGUUGUGUAAUUUUAGAACUUGUAUUGUGCCAAAGGAUGCAUAAAUAAAAGUGACGCAAUGAA